UUUCGCUUUUAACAACAUUCACCACCCUUUCGCGACGAAGAGAAAAAUGGGGGUGUUAGGGUGUUGAUUCUCUGCGACGCUCUUCGCAUUGCGGUACCCUGCACCUUCCUCGCGGUAUUGCGCGCCUGUCUCACUCCCAUUCCGUUUUUCCGCUCCCCUCUCUGUGUUGCGAAAAUAAGGGUUCAUUGGUUUGGGGCUAAUUCUUCUUCCGAUUUCGAGCCGAGUGAAAUCGUUAAGAGAGAAAAUGUACGCUGAUCGUAUGGAGGGUGGAGCCAGGAGGCCCGUGAAGGAACGCCUUAAUAAUGGGAAUGGCGUCAUUGGCUCUACUCGGCAGCAGCAGCAGCGUCAAAUCACUGGCAAGAGGUCGAGGCAAGAUGACAAGUGGGAACAUGAUCUCUUCGACAAUGACAAACCUCAGAUCACUAAUUGCAAAGUUAGUGCUCCAGAUCUUCGCCUCAAGCUUCAAAGGAAGGGUCUUCAACUUGCAGCUCAGAGUGGAAAGAGUUCUGCUCCAAACAUGCGGGAUCUCCAUGAAAGGCUAUCAGGGACAAUGUCACCACAACUUACAAAUGCUGAUCAGCCAAAGACAAAAGUUGUUAAAUCAAGCAGUAAAAGUGUUGGUGUUGAGGCCCCUGCAGUGCAGAUCAAAAGGCCAGCUGACCUAACUCCUAAAAAGUCACAAAAGGCUGGUUCUUCAGUUGAUGAAUUUUUGCGGUCCUUGUGUCUCGAAAAGUAUCUCAUAACUUUUCAGGCUGAAGAAGUUGAUAUGACAGCUCUCAAUCAUAUGACUGAUGAAGAUCUCAAGGCUAUGGGUAUACCAAUGACGUGCCAAGCUACAACGUAUCUUUUAUGGUUCUUGGUGGCUUGAAUAAAUGGAUUGGGUCAGCAUAUUCCUCUUGCAGACCAGCCAAAUAAGCAUCGACAAGAUAGUCUUCGGAUAAGUGAAGUUUACAAGAAAUCACAUCAAAUGCAUUAUUAAAUUCUGCCAAGGUGCCAUGCUGUUGCAAAAACAUCAAAUCUUUAAGGCGAUCUUGAUGGCAUGUAUGGUGGUGCCUUUCUCUGUAGCCAUGUCCAAGAUUGAUGGAGGCAUAAUACCCUUUGCACGUUAGCUGAUGAAGCUGAUUAGAAAUAGCCUCCACCAUGGACCAAGAAAGAAGAUACUUUUAGCACUGGAGUCGAAAGUCUGACCAUUUAGUAAUGGAAUUGAUUUUCUAAGCUGGAUGAACCUGUUUAUGGACGGUGGUGGGAGAUCAGGAUUUAAAAACCAAGUGUAAUAGCAUAGUUCUUUGAUUAUUUUCGUUUUUAAUAUUUUUCCUUACUUUUUAGACAUUAAUCAAGUGAUUUAAAUUGAAAUGCUUGCGGCAUAAGCUCGUGUAGGAUUUAUGUCAUGGUCAUUAUCAUAUUCUCUAUUGACACGGAUAAUUGGGGGCGCCUUUUUGUUUUAAUUAAAAUUGCAUUUUCAGAGACCA